rnacentral:rRNA from 1 species
CGCGGCCUAUCAGCUUGUUGGUGGGGUGAUGGCCUACCAAGGCUUUUACGGGUAGCCGGCCUGAGAGGGCGACCGGUCACACUGGGACUGAGACACGGCCCAGACUCCUACGGGAGGCAGCAGUGGGGAAUAUUGCACAAUGGGCGGAAGCCUGAUGCAGCAACGCCGCGUGAGGGAUGACUGCCUUCGGGUUGUAAACCUCUUUCAGCACCGACGAAGCGGGAGUGACGGUAGGUGCAGAAGAAGCGCCGGCCAACUACGUGCCAGCAGCCGCGGUAACACGUAGGGCGCGAGCGUUGUCCGGAAUUAUUGGGCGUAAAGGGCUCGUAGGCGGUUUGUUGCGUCGAUAGUGAAAAUCCGGGGCUUAACUUCGGACUUGCUUUCGAUACGGGCAGGCUAGAGGUAGGCAGGGGAGAGUGGAAUAGCUGGUGUAGCGGUGGAAUGCGCAGAUAUCAGCUGGAACACCGGUGGCGAAGGCGGCUCUCUGGGCCUUACCUGACGCUGAGGAGCGAAAGCGUGGGGAGCGAACAGGAUUAGAUACCCUGGUAGUCCACGCCGUAAACGUUGGGCGCUAGGUGUGGGGGGCUUUCCACGUCCUCCGUGCCGCAGCUAACGCAUUAAGCGCCCCGCCUGGGGAGUACGG